rnacentral:tRNA from 1 species
GGGCGGGUAGUUCAGUGGUAGAACGCUUGCUCGACACGCAAGAGGUCGUUGGUUCGAUACCAAUCCCGCCCA